rnacentral:rRNA from 1 species
AAUGAACGUUGGCGGCGUGGAUUAGGCAUGCAAGUCGAACGAGAUCUGUAGCAAUACAGUGAAAGUGGCGAAAGGGGGAGUAAUACGUAGGUACCUGCCCUCGGGUCUGGGAUAGCUGCGGGAAACUGCAAUUAAUACCGGAUGACGUCUCUGGACCAAAGGUGUGAUUCCGCCAGGGGAUGGGCCUGCGUCCUAUCAGCUAGUUGGUGUGGUAAUGGCGCACCAAGGCUAAGACGGGUACGGGGUGUGAGAGCAUGCCCCCGCUCACUGGGACGGAGAGACUGCCCAGACACCUACGGGUGGCUGCAGUCGAGAAUCUUCCGCAAUGGGCGCAAGACUGACGGAGCGACGCCGCGUGUGGGAUGAAGGCCUUCGGGUUGUAAACCACUGUCAGUGGGGAGCAAAUGCAUCAGGGUUCUCCCUGGUGUUUGAGCGAUCCGCAGAGGAAGCACAGGCUAAUUCCGUGCCAGCCGCCGCCGUAAAAC